UACCUACGGGACGCAGCAGUAGGGAAUCUUCGGCAAUGGGGGCAACCCUGACCGAGCAACGCCGCGUGAGUGAAGAAGGUUUUCGGAUCGUAAAGCUCUGUUGUAGGAGAAGAACGUGUGUGAGAGUGGCAAGUUCACACAGUCACGGUAACUUACCAGAAAGGGACGGCUAACUACGUGCCAGCAGCCGCGGUAAUACGUAGGUCCCGAGCGUUAUCCGGUUGUAUUUGUCGUAAAUCGAGCGCAGGCGGUUUGAUAAGUCU
rnacentral:rRNA from 1 species